AGCGAACGCUGGCGGCAGGCUUAACACAUGCAAGUCGAGCGGGCGUAGCAAUACGUCAGCGGCAGACGGGUGAGUAACGCGUGGGAACAUACCUUUUGGUUCGGAACAACACAGGGAAACUUGUGCUAAUACCGGAUAAGCCCUUACGGGGAAAGAUUUAUCGCCGAAAGAUUGGCCCGCGUCUGAUUAGCUAGUUGGUGAGGUAAUGGCUCACCAAGGCGACGAUCAGUAGCNGGUCUGAGAGGAUGAUCAGCCACAUUGGGACUGAGACACGGCCCAAACUCCUACGGGAGGCAGCAGUGGGGAAUAUUGGACAAUGGGCGCAAGCCUGAUCCAGCCAUGCCGCGUGAGUGAUGAAGGCCCUAGGGUUGUAAAGCUCUUUUGUGCGGGAAGAUAAUGACGGUACCGCAAGAAUAAGCCCCGGCUAACUUCGUGCCAGCAGCCGCCGUAA
rnacentral:rRNA from 1 species